rnacentral:rRNA from 1 species
CUCCACCGCUUGUGUGAGCCCCCGUCAAUUCCCUUGAGUUUCAGCCUUGCGACCAUACUCCCCAGGCGGGGUACUUAACACUUUUGCUUCGACUGUAAACCCAUGUUAAGUCUACAAUCUAGUACCCAUCGUUUAGGGCCAGGACUACCGGGGUAUCUAAUCCCGUUUGCUCCCCUGGCUUUCGCGCCUCAGCGUCAGAAAAGGUCCAGCACGUCGCUUUCGCCACCGGCGUUCCUUCCGAUAUCUACGCAUUUCACCGCUCCACCGGAAGUUCCACAUGCCCCUACCUUCCUCAAGACAACCAGUAUCCAGGGCUAUUCUCCAGUUAAGCUGGAGGAUUUCACCCCGGACUUGAUCACCCGCCUACGCGCCCUUUAAGCCCAGUGAAUCCGAACAACGUUCGCACGGUUCGUCUUACCGCGGCUGCUGGCACGAACUUAGCCCGUGCUUCCUCCAGAGAUCGAUCAACCUUGCGGCUUUCUUUCUUUCGACAGUGCUUUACA